CGUGACGUCAGGCGGUUUUCAUGGUGCCUUCGUAUUUGUAGGAAACUGGGAUACUUCAGACUUUACCGUAACAUUUUUUGUAAGAUACGAAGAAAUCCCAAAGAACUUCCAUUAUGUCCGUGAAGUCUUUUUCGUAACAAUAACAAAAAGAAAAAUGGUGAGGUAGAAGAUACCACUUCACUACCUGAAAAGAAGAGGCAAAGACAAUUAUCCACAGCAAGAAAUCGCUGAGACUAUAAAUGUAAAAAUGCUUCCUACCGCUGUUUGCGUCAUUACAUUUUCCCAGUUUUAGAGUUUUAGAAAUGCAACAACUUACAACAACCUUUUUCUUUUAAAGACAUGUCAUUUUUAAAACAGAAUGGAGGUUUCUGCCACAACUUCAUCUACUUCCAAGCUGCAUGGUGAAAAACAAGGAUCUGAAAAAGUCAGCGUUUCGGUCUGUAACCAGGGUCAUCCACAGGCCGAAACGCAUUGGUCAAGUAAUAAAGUUGUAGUCUUAGUGUUGCUGAAGCUUCGACCUGUUUUCACGCAAUGAAACUCAUAAGCAUGACGUGUGAUUCAAAUCAGUUCAGUUUAUUAAGUCAUUACAUCAAACCAUCCAAUACACAUACUGAUUCAGUCAUAAUCUGACACUGUAACCGGUUUCCUCAUGUUAAGAUCAAAAUGUAUGUGCUAUCAAAUUGAAAUAGGCUCAAUAUAAGCAACAAUGACUAUACUUUUUUUUGUUUAAUUAUCAUUUUUGACAAGGUCUCAUCUAAUAGCAACUAUAUUAUUUUAAAGGAAUACUCAAGUUUUGGACUCCCCAUUGUGUUCACAGAAUCAGUUUUCACAAAUAUUUUGAUUGAGCUAACUGAUUGAGCUAUCAUAAAUGUGUUUGUCUGAGUUUCCCUGGAAGAGCUGUAAAGGGUUUUAGUCCUUACUUAGGUGGGCCUCCAAAGUGGGCCCCAUCAUUCUUGUCAAUGGGAAAUCCCACUUUAUCCUUGCUUCCAAAUUCCCCUUUCUGUAGGAUAGGAGCUCCAGGAUUAGGGUUGUUGAUUACACCCAUAAAAACCGGUAUUUUAGUUACAUCAUGCAUAAGUGCAAAGAAGAAGGGUUGGCUGAGAUGGAAAACUGGAUUGGAUGCCCUUGAAAUAACCACAGUAGUAGCUGCAGCUGCCUCUGCACCAUCCUCAUUUAUCUCCAUGCUGGACUUAUGCAUUACACUGGACACCAGCAGAGGGCCAUCUGAAAUCUCAGCCAA